UCACUGAGACAGCUGAGCAGCAGGACCCUGGGGAUUCAGGAAGCAGAGUAUCAGAAUCAGGCAGCUCUAGCCAUGGCAGCACAGCACAGACCAAGCUAGCAUCUAAAUCAGCUGAUUUGAAAGGUGCUCUGGACACAUGCACACCACCAUUUCCUCUUUUCUAUGACUGCACAGAAAAUUUAAAUGACUAUAUUAUGUUAAAGCAGCUUGAGACCAACCAGUGUCUUGAAUUCCUUCCUGCACAUUGCUUAGGAUCAAGAGCCAACUAUCAGGAUGAUAACAGACUUGCCAGAAGCAGAAGCCAGGCAGUGGGUAGACAACCUGGAGCACGUCACCUACACCAGCAACAACCUGAUGACAGAAGCUGCCUUUACUUGCAUUUGGACACAGCAAGGCUGCACACAAGGGAGGCCCAACCAGCAUGGCCCAAAUUGCAGGAAGCACCCAGCCACAAGCUGGGGUGACAACUACCAAGAAGAGGCACACACACUCUCCCUCUUGUUGGAGCAGGGUUCUCAGCUCAGGAAGAAUGGCAAUGCGAAGGAUUAACUCUUGAUGGCUUGAGGUCUUGGAGGAGAUAAGUCACCCAGGCUCACUCUACAGCAACCACAAGUUUUAUACAACAGCCCAGCUAAAACCACCUUCACUUCCAGAAAAACAAAACAGUAGUGAGAAACUGGAUGAUCAUCCAUUCAGAUGAGAAGGGAAGUUGAUACACCAGCCAACACCAUGAACAACCCAAAUGCUUCAAACCCUCUAACCCUCCCCAUCAUCUUUCCACCUUUACUCUCAGAGACUUGAAGAACCUGUGCUUGCCUCAUAACAAAUAAACAUUUUUUCCUUGCACAA